GUUUGGGGGUGGUCCGCGGCGAGGGGCGCGGGGUGCAUCUUCUCUUCCUUUUAUGGGCUGCCACACUUGUGUAUCCCUUCUUCCUUGAAUUUAACCAGGAGUGAGCAGUGGACAGCUUCUUCCCUAUGAGAAGGAGGUGAAGCAGGACCUGAAAUCCCGUGCUCAGCUCCCACAUGCCCCGUGUCCAGGACAAGUCCUUUGCUGAAUCAGCGGCAGACACCACCCGGAGCCCUGCGGGAGCCUUUCCCUGUUCUUCCAGCAUGGAUCUGAAACUCCCUUCCCACUUUCUGCAGCCUCCCAGAGAUAGUUCAGGCUCCAGCCUCAUGUGAUAGCAUGAAGAGAAACUGGUUCCAACAGCUGUGUGCUCUGCUGCCCUCAUCCCAAACAACAGUUUAAAUGCACAAUUACGCUUUUCUCUAAGGCCCAAAAUAGGAUAGGAAAGAUCGUUUUGCUAUCCCUGAAUGCCUGUCACCCUUGUUUCGUAAGGAAGUCAGUCCCAGAAUAGUUGUUCUGCUCCCUCCCUUCUA
rnacentral:lncRNA from 1 species